GUAGGUGAACCUGCGGAAGGAUCAUUAUUGAAUUCGAGUCUGCUGCCCCCCCUUUUUUGGGGGGGGGGGGCGGAUUUAUUUCUUGUGAAUUGGGAAUUUUGCAAACUUGGUUAAACUUGCGCGCAACUUUUUGCUUUUAUUCGUAUUUUUAUUUUUAUUUUUUUAUUAUUAUAUACAAUGAAAAAAAAAAAGACAACUUUCAGCAAUGGAUCUCUUGGCUCUU
rnacentral:misc_RNA from 1 species